AGAAGGCCUUAUGGUUGUAAAGCACUUUAAGCGAGGAGGAGGAGCUCUAGGCUAAUAUCCUAGAUGCUUGGACGUUACUCGCAGAAUAAGCACCGGCUAACUCUGUGCCAGCAGCCGCGGUAAUACAGAGGGUGCGAGCGUUAAUCGGAUUUACUGGGCGUAAAGCGUACGUAGGCGGCUUUUUAAGUCGGAUGUGAAAUCCCUGAGCUUAACUUAGGAAUUGCAUUCGAUACUGGGAAGCUAGAGUAUGGGAGAGGAUGGUAGAAUUCCAGGUGUAGCGGUGAAAUGCGUAGAGAUCUGGAGGAAUACCGAUGGCGAAGGCAGCCAUCUGGCCUAAUACUGACGCUGAGGUACGAAAGCAUGGGGAGCAAACAGGAUUAGAUACCCUGGUAGUCCAUGCCGUAAACGAUGUCUACUAGCCGUUGGGGCCUUUGAGGCUUUAGUGGCGCAGCUAACGCGAUAAGUAGACCGCCUGGGGAGUACGGUCGCAAGACUAAAACUCAAAUGAAUUGACGGGGGCCCGCACAAGCGGUGGAGCAUGUGGUUUAAUUCGAUGCAACGCGAAGAACCUUACCUGGUCUUGACAUAGUAAGAACUUUCCAGAGAUGGAUUGGUGCCUUCGGGAACUUACAUACAGGUGCUGCAUGGCUGUCGUCAGCUCGUGUCGUGAGAUGUUGGGUUAAGUCCCGCAACGAGCGCAACCCUUUUCCUUAUUUGCCAGCACUUCGGGUGGGAACUUUAAGGAUACUGCCAGUGACAAACUGGAGGAAGGCGGGGACGACGUCAAGUCAUCAUGGCCCUUACGACCAGGGCUACACACGUGCUACAAUGGUCGGUACAAAGGGUUGCUACCUAGCGAUAGGAUGCUAAUCUCAAAAAGCCGAUCGUAGUCCGGAUUGGAGUCUGCAACUCGACUCCAUGAAGUCGGAAUCGCUAGUAAUCGCGGAUCAGAAUGCCGCGGUGAAUACGUUCCCGGGCCUUGUACACACCGCCCGUCACACCAUGGGAGUUUGUUGCACCAGAAGUAGGUAGUCUAACCUUAGGGAG
rnacentral:rRNA from 1 species